GGUGGAUGAAAGACCUGAGCUAACAUG
rnacentral:piRNA from 1 species